GACGAACGCUGGCGGCGUGCUUAACACAUGCAAGUCGAACGGAAAGGCCCUGCUUUUGUGGGGUGCUCGAGUGGCGAACGGGUGAGUAACACGGGAGUAACCUGCCCUUGACUUUGGGAUAACUUCAGGAAACUGGGGCUAAUACCGGAUAGGAGCUCCUGCAGCAUGGUGGGGGUUGGAAAGUUUCGGCGGUUGGGGCUGGAAUCGCGGCUUAUCAGCUUGUUGGUGGGGUAGUGGCUUACCAAGGCUUUGACGGGUAGCCGGCCUGAGAGGGUGACCGGCCACAUUGGGACUGAGAUACGGCCCAGACUCCUACGGGAGGCAGCAGUGGGGAAUAUUGCACAAUGGGCGGAAGCCUGAUGCAGCAACGCCGCGUGCGGGAUGACGGCCUUCGGGUUGUAAACCGCUUUCGCCUGUGACGAAGCGUGAGUGACGGUAAUGGGUAAAGAAGCACCGGCUAACUACGUG
rnacentral:rRNA from 1 species